rnacentral:rRNA from 1 species
GACGUAGGGGGCAAGCGUUGUUCGGAAUUAUUGGGCGUAAAGCGCUCGUAGGCGGGACAGGAAGUUCGUGUUGAAAGACCUCGGCUCAACUGAGGGACCGGCUCGAAUACUCUUGUUCUUGAGGCAAUCAGAGGGUGAUGGAAUUCCCAGUGUAGAGGUGAAAUUCGUAGAUAUUGGGAAGAACACCGGUGGCGAAGGCGGCGACCUGGUCCGAUACUGACGCUGAGGCGCGAAAGCGUGGGGAGCAAACAGG